rnacentral:rRNA from 1 species
AGUGAACGCUGGCGGUAUGCCUAACACAUGCAAGUCGAACGGCAGCACAGUAAGUUGUUGCUGUUACGGGUGGCGGGAGGCGGGCGGGAGAGAUAUGAAUAGGACUCUACUUUUUCGUGGGGGAUACCGAAGGGAGACUUACACUACUACCGAACACGACCUAAGGGUGGAAGAAGGGCAGCUUCGGACCUUUCGCGAUUGAAUGAGCCGAUGUCGGAUUAGCUAGUUGGCGGGGUAAAGGCCCACCAAGGCGACGAUCCGUAGCUGGUCUGAGAGGAUGAUCAGCCACACUGGAACUGAGACACGGCCCAGACUCCUACGGGAGGCAGCAGUGGGGAAUUUUGGACAAUGGGCGCAAGCCUGAUCCAGCAAUGCCGCGUGUGUGAAGAAGGCCUUCGGGUUGUAAAGCACUUUUGUUCGGAAAGAAAACCUUCGCGCUAAUACCGUCGGGUGCUGACGGUACCCGAAGAAUAAGCACCGGCUAACUACGUG